CUCAGCAUCCAGAUUUUAACAUUUUAUUUUAGUUAUACAAUACUUGAAAUCAGGUUAUUUUCUUGCUUCUAGCAAUUUGUCUUUGUUUUUGCCUUGUUUCAGAAAGGAGAGGUUUUAAAAGUUCUCUCUAAAAAUAAGGAUGGAUGGUGGCUUGCUAAAAACUCAAAAGGCCAGAAGGGCCUGGUUCCCAAAACCUUCUUGGAGAUGGCUUCUCUGUAUGGUAGUAAGAGAGAGAGAGAGAGAAUGAGGAUGUUGGAGAGAGUGAAGAAGAAGAGUAGGAGUCUGACAUAAAGUCCAGAUGACUGAGAUGCUGCCCUGUCUUCUAGAUAUAGACUGUUUCCUGCAUUGUGAUUCGGAAACUCCUGAUCUUGGAAUUCUGUUUGAAUUGGGUUUGACCUACAUAAGAAAUAAAUCAUGGACCGAAUCAGAGAGUAACCUG